AUGAGAAAAGCAGUUGCUUGGGCAAUAUGUGACAUGAGAAGCAGCGCCGAGACACCAGGAAGGGGAGGCAUGACUGGUGCUCCAGCAGCACCCAGCAAACCACAGCAUGGAAUCGUGCCCUUCGUGUGCCGGGCCACCUGGGGACCGGCCUGUGCAGAAGGGGGUGACUGCAAGGAGACUUCCGACCUGCCUGCCUUUUCUUUCCAAAGCCUGACCAGGCUUGCAGCUUUCUUGUUAAGCCAAGCACAGGCUAAUCCUCUCGGCUCUGCCCUUCGAGGUACCGGCUACCCAUCAGGGAAGAGCAACGUGACUUCAUCAGCCAAGAAAAGGGGGUUACUGGGAAAGCCGCUGCAUAGCCAAGGGAGGAAGUGGAGCUGGAUUUCACACCUUAACCAAGAAAACCACUUCCAAGCUCUUAAAACCAGACCAGUGCUAGAUUCUGCAGCCUUACCUUGGGACAGCAAGUGA
rnacentral:lncRNA from 1 species